UGUGUGUAUGUGUGAGAAACUUUGCUGUAACUGUUAUGGUCAAUCAAACAGACUUUCAUCCACCUUCAUCAGGAUUUCGAUAAACUAACCAUUUUAGAGCUCAACAUUUUUUUAAACUUUUGCUCCUCUUGUUCUUGUGUCUGCCGUUUUUAUUUGAUGUUUG